rnacentral:rRNA from 1 species
UACGUAGGGUGCGAGCGUUAAUCGGAAUUACUGGGCGUAAAGCGUGCGCAGGCGGUUGUACAAGACAGGUGUGAAAUCCCCGGGCUUAACCUGGGAACUGCACUUGUGACUGUAUGACUGGAGUACGGCAGAGGGGGAUGGAAUUCCGCGUGUAGCAGUGAAAUGCGUAGAUAUGCGGAGGAACACCGAUGGCGAAGGCACUCCCCUGGGCCUGUACUGACGCUCAUGCACGAAAGCGUGGGGAGCAAACAGG